rnacentral:rRNA from 1 species
GAUGAACGCUGGCGGCGUGCCUAAUACAUGCAAGUCGAGCGAACAGACGAGGAGCUUGCUCCUCUGACGUUAGCGGCGGACGGGUGAGUAACACGUGGAUAACCUACCUAUAAGACUGGGAUAACUUCGGGAAACCGGAGCUAAUACCGGAUAACAUGUUGAACCGCAUGGUUCAACAGUGAAAGACGGUUUUGCUGUCACUUAUAGAUGGAUCCGCGUCGCAUUAGCUAGUUGGUAAUGUAACGGCUUACCAAGGCAACGAUGCGUAGCCGACCUGAGAGGGUGAUCGGCCACACUGGAACUGAGACACGGUCCAGACUCCUACGGGAGGCAGCAGUAGGGAAUCUUCCGCAAUGGGCGAAAGCCUGACGGAGCAACGCCGCGUGAGUGAAGAAGGUCUUCGGAUCGUAAAACUCUGUUAUUAGGGAAGAACAAAUGUGUAAGUAACUAUGCACGUCUUGACGGUACCUAAUCAGAAAGCCACGGCUAACUACGUG